UUUUCAGGUGAUGAAGCUGUGAGUGAAUACAGCUCCCCGUGUGCAGAGUGACAGCCAAUCAAGCUGACUGGACUUGGGCUCAACCAAUUGCUUUCCUAUUUAGGAAGAGCUCCUAGAAUGGAGGGGUUCUAUUUGGUGCUUACACAUUGUCCAACUUGUAAUCCGUUUAA